AAAAAAUGUAGCACUAUCACCUUGAUAAUCCAGUAACUACACUAUGUAUAACUUGCCUAGACAAGUCAUAUAAGAGCAACUAUGAACCAAGAAAUUUUGCUAAAUUUUAUAAACUCCCUAGAGGGCUAAGAAAAUGGAAAUAUGCUUAAAACUAAAAACUAAUGUUUCUUUCAACUGUUUCUUUUGGAUGGCCUCUGUUAUCUAUGAACUUCUGUCUAUACAAAGGAUGCAUGAUUCUUAACUAGGGAGAGAUCUUCGACAGAGGCGAGUUGAUGGACCGGUGACUUAGGUGGUAGCUGCAUUGCUGUAGAAGCUGCUGAAAGGCCUUGAAGCAUUUUUAUAACUUCAGCUGGAUCAUCAAGAUAGUACUUAGCCAUACUCGGUUUCUGCCCGACGGUGCAGGCAAAG
rnacentral:misc_RNA from 1 species